rnacentral:rRNA from 1 species
GACUUCACGCUGGCGGCAUGCCUAAUCACAUGCAAGUCGAACGAAGCGCCCCAUUGAUCACUGAAUGAAGUUGGAUCGCUUGCUCAAAGAUGGAAUGACGUAGGAUUUGGAUUCUGCGCUUAGUGGCGAACGGGUGAGUAACACGUGGGUUUACUGCCUUCAAGCUGGGGAUAACAGCUAGAAAUGGUUGCUAAUACCGAAUGUGCUAGUAAUAGUAAAGAUGCCCUUAAAGCAUCACUUGAAGAUGGGCCUGCGGCGUAUUAGAUAGUUGGUGGGGUAAUGGCCUACCAAGUCAACGAUGCGUAACCGGACUGAGAGGUUGAACGGCCACACUGGGACUGAGACACGGCCCAAACUCCUACGGGAGGCAGCAGUGGGGGAUAUUGCACAAUGGAGGAAACUCUGAUGCAGCGACGCCGCGUGAGUGAAGAAGUAUUUCGGUAUGUAAAGCUCUAUCAGCAGGGAAGAAAGGCUCGUAAGAGAGAUGACGGUACCUGACUAAGAAGCCCCGGCUAACUACGUGCCAGCAGCCGCGGUAAUACGUAGGGGGCAAGCGUUAUCCGGAUUUACUGGGUGUAAAGGGAGCGCAGACGGUGAUGCAAGUUCUGAAGUGAAACCCCACGGCUCAACCGUGGGCUUGCUUUGGAAACUGUAUGACUAGAGUACUGGAGAGGUAAGCGGAAUUCCUAGUGUAGCGGUAAAAUGCGUAGAUAUUAGGAAGAACACCAGAGGCGAAGGCGGCUUACUGGACAGUUACUGACGUUGAGGCUCGAAAGCGUGGGGAGCAAACA